rnacentral:rRNA from 3 species
UACAGAGACUGCAAGCGUUAUUCGGAUUCACUGGGCGUAAAGGGUGCGCAGGCGGCCAAGUGUGUCAGGUGUGAAAUCCCGGGGCUUAACUCCGGAACUGCGCCUGAAACUACUUGGCUAGAGCAUUGGAGAGGGAAGUGGAAUUCACGGUGUAGCAGUGAAAUGCGUAGAUAUCGUGAGGAACACCAGAGGCGAAGGCGACUUCCUGGACAAUUGCUGACGCUCAGGCACGAAAGCGUGGGGAGCCAAAGGG